GAUUCAGCAAGUUGAUCCAGAAAGAAGCAACACCUGAGCAACCUACAGGACCACCUGAUUUCUUUGUACUGCCACGACAUGGACAAGCGAAAGCGAGACGACAGCCCAGCAGCCCACCAGGAGCGUCCAGCCAAGCGGCCCUGCACCACCUCUGGCUCUCAGCAUGGAGGCCAGGAACCAUCCCAGCCGGAGGUACAUGCUGCCCAGCCAGAAAGGAGCACCAGCCCCCAGCCGUCCACCUCUGGCUCACAGCACGACCCUCCAGAGCCAGAGCUAAGUACCAUCCCCCUGCUGUCCACCUCAGACUCAGAUUCAGACUAUGAUUCAGAUUCUGAUAUAGAGGUAGAUUUAGAUUUGGAUUCAGACUCUGACUCUGAUUUCCAGGACGAGAGGAGCUCCA
ensembl:lncRNA